UACGGAGGGUGCAAGCGUUAUCCGGAUUUAUUGGGUUUAAAGGGUCCGUAGGCGGGCUGAUAAGUCAGUGGUGAAAUCUCGUAGCUUAACUAUGAAACUGCCAUUGAUACUGUUAGUCUUGAGUGAAUUUGAGGUAGCUGGAAUAAGUAGUGUAGCGGUGAAAUGCAUAGAUAUUACGUAGAACACCAAUUGCGAAGGCAGGUUACCAAGAUUCAACUGACGCUGAGGGACGAAAGCGUGGGGAGCGAACAGG
rnacentral:rRNA from 1 species